rnacentral:rRNA from 1 species
UUGGAGAGUUUGAUCCUGGCUCAGGACGAACGCUGGCGGCGUGCCUAAUACAUGCAAGUCGAGGGGGGGGUUAUUUAGAAGCUUGCUUCUAAAUAAUCUAGCGGCGGACGGGUGAGUAACACGUAGGCAACCUGCCCACAAGACAGGGAUAACUACCGGAAACGGUAGCUAAUACCCGAUACAUCCUUUUCCUGCAUGGGAGAAGGAGGAAAGACGGAGCAAUCUGUCACUUGUGGAUGGGCCUGCGGCGCAUUAGCUAGUUGGUGGGGUAAAGGCCUACCAAGGCGACGAUGCGUAGCCGACCUGAGAGGGUGAUCGGCCACACUGGGACUGAGACACGGCCCAGACUCCUACGGGAGGCAGCAGUAGGGAAUCUUCCGCAAUGGGCGAAAGCCUGACGGAGCAACGCCGCGUGAGUGAUGAAGGUUUUCGGAUCGUAAAGCUCUGUUGCCAGGGAAGAACCUACUUGUAGAGUAACAUGCUACAAGAGUGACGGGUGCCUAAGUUGAACCUCUGCAGCACUUACAUG